rnacentral:misc_RNA from 1 species
UGACUGCUACGUCCUGACGAAAUUCAUUGCUCAGACGAAGAAAUGAUGUUGCAAAGUUAGCAGUGAAGUUGGUAAUCCUUGGUUUUUCAUGCUAUUUAUUGAACUGAACUUGGGAUUAUUUAUACCUGGGAACAUCAAAAUCUGAUUGGUGAAAUGACUUCAACAGUUCCUGUAAUGGUCUGGUGGACCAAUGGCCUUUUAUAAAUCAUUUAAUAGUUUGUAGACAUUUUGAAAUUUUGUAUUCCAAAAUCAAUAGAA